GCCCCCGUAGCUCAGUUGGUAGAGCAGCUCCCUUUUAAGGAGAAGGUCAGAGGUUCGAAUCCUCUCGGGGGCA
rnacentral:tRNA from 1 species